UAACCUGCCCAAGAGAUCGGGAUAACACCUGGAAACAGAUGCUAAUACCGGAUAACAACAGAUGAUGCCUAUCAACUGUUUAAAAGAUGGUUCUGCUAUCACUCUUGGAUGGACCUGCGGUGCAUUAGCUAGUUGGUAGGGUAACGGCCUACCAAGGCGAUGAUGCAUAGCCGAGUUGAGAGACUGAUCGGCCACAUCGGGACUGAGACACGGCCCAAACUCCUACGGGAGGCAGCAGCC
rnacentral:rRNA from 1 species